rnacentral:rRNA from 1 species
GAUGAACGCUGGCGGCGUGCUUAACACAUGCAAGUCGAACGGUGAAGCUCCAGCUUGCUGGAGUGGAUCAGUGGCGAACGGGUGAGUAACACGUGAGCAACCUGCCCCUGACUCUGGGAUAACAGCCGGAAACGGCUGCUAAUACCGGAUAUGCACCAUGAACGCAUGUUCUGUGGUGGGAAAGACUUUUCGGUUGGGGAUGGGCUCGCGGCCUAUCAGCUUGUUGGUGAGGUAAUGGCUCACCAAGGCGUCGACGGGUAGCCGGCCUGAGAGGGUGACCGGCCACACUGGGACUGAGACACGGCCCAGACUCCUACGGGAGGCAGCAGUGGGGAAUAUUGCACAAUGGGCGAAAGCCUGAUGCAGCAACGCCGCGUGAGGGAUGACGGCCUUCGGGUUGUAAACCUCUUUUAGCAGGGAAGAAGCGAGAGUGACGGUACCUGCAGAAAAAGCGCCGGCUAACUACGUG